rnacentral:lncRNA from 1 species
GGAGCCCGGCGGACGCUGGGUCUGCAGAUGCCAUCCAGGCGCACGGCGGGUAUAGUGGUUCCGCAACCUUGGGAUGUUCGGCUGAGCGCCUGCCUAACAUGGGAGCGCCUGCCUAACCCUCCUGACUGGAGGGUCAGCGGCGGGGAGUCCUGGCCUUCAAUCGGCCAUCGCCACGGCAGAAACUGGGGCCCGGGCUGCGUCCAGGCCCUUCCCCGUCCGUCCACAGGUCUCAUGGGCGCCCGGACUGGGGCUGAUGUAGUUUCCCGACCUCUGACACAUAGGAUCUGGAGAUUAAAGCUGCUCUGCUAAUAAUUAGGUUCCCACCUCUCAAGAUCAUUAGGAGCUUCUUUUCCAAUUCCUCUGUUUUGCAUGCAUUGGAAGGAUCUGGAGCUCAGGACCCACUACCUCCCCGGCCCACUGCAAGCUUGAACAUUUGAUGGUGGACACCCCUCCCUGACUUUGUAUUAUGAUUCACAGGCUGCUCCCCAGAAUACUGAAGAAGAAACUCUAGGAGUGAGACCCAACAAUCUGUGUUUAACAAGUCCCCAGGCCCCUGGAUCCUCCUGGAAUCCCUGAUCCCUGUUGCUCCCUGGCGGAGUUUUCUAGUCCCUCUUACUUGAAGCAUGUCUUUCAGAGCCCGGCACCACCCAAGUUGGGUAUCUGCUACACCUCUAUGGUAUUUUUUUCACCUCAUAUCAUACCUUCCUCCCUCACUGGACUUCAGUGUGGGACCUGCAGGUCUCAGGCCUUCUGGGAAGUCCCAGCUUUUCUUGAAUGUUCUCUCUCUCUGGCCAGCUCAGGCUGGAGCAGUGGGUGUUGGUGCCAUCCUGUGGCUAUAGGUGAUAAGCCGGCUGUUCUUCACUGACCUGGUCUUACCUUGAACCCUGGAGUUCUCACAUGCAUGGAUUUAAAUGCUGUGUCUUUCUAAGGGCACAUUAUGGCCAUUUUCCUUAUCUCCCUCCCAAGGGGCUGUUUCCUGUAUUUAUUGACUCCCUGUUUAAAAAAAAUAUAUGUAUAUAUAGACAAAUUGGAUUGUACCCCAUAAACUGCAUGUUUUAAAAAUACUUCAAAGAAUAGUUUUUCAUUUUUUUCUUGCUGGUUUUUAUGUAUCUUCUAAAUUGUAUAUAUUUAUGGGGUAUAAAAUGAUGUUGUGAUUUUUCAAUACAGUGUGGAAUGAGAAUCAAAUUAACCUAUCCGUUACCUCAAGUACUUGACUUUUUUUGUGAUGAGAAGGCUGUUUAUCACUUUCACUCACCAGCUCCUGCUGUCUUCCAUGCUGGGGACAGGAAAGGCUCCACGCUUGACUUUCCCUCCUGUUUUCUUAUCUGCUGUCAACCCCUGAAUGUACCCUCCAGGAUUGACUUCUAGACCUUCUACAUCUAGCUCGAUCGUUGUGCACCCACCUUCCUCCCAGGGACUGUCCUUAGGGAGUGACUUUAUGCACAAACUUCACAUGCUCUUCCUGCCUCCUUCAUCCCCAGAAGCCCCCAUCUCAGCCCCAUCUGAUUAUUUCCUCCCUCUCUCAUUUCCUGUUAUGCUGUUGGUUUUCUAACCUGAAGGGUAACUUCUUACUCCUUAGUUUUUUGCCUUAAUUUCUAAGUCAUAGGCUACUUUCAGGCUAAAAGUUUUCCUCCAGCCAUGGUUUUAGUCUCAUUCUAUAAGUCUUGCUAGGUAGUUUAUUCAUUGGAAAUUUUUUGUUUUUGAGACAGAGUCUCGCUCUAUCACCCAGGCUGUAGUACAGUGGUGCCAUCUCAGCUCACUGCAACCUCCGGUUCCCGGGCUCAAGCAGUUCUCUUUCCUCAGCCUCCUGAGUAGCUGGGAUUAUGGGUGCCUGCCACCACACCCAGCUAAUUUUUGUAUUUUUAGCAGAGACGGCAUUUCACCAUGUCAGCCAGGUUGGUCUCGAACUCUUGACCUCAAGUGAUCCGCCCGCCUUGGCCUCCCAAAAUACUGGGAUUACAGGGGUGAGUCACCGCACCCCACCCCUUGGCACUAUAUUUAAGUGAUGAUAUUUUUGGACACUGAGGUAGCCUCAUUCCACAGGUUUAGAUCUGAAGCAUUUUCACUAUUGCUUCUUUCCAUGUAUUUCCUGGUUUGCAGGUCAGUUUCUUCUUUUAAUUCAUCAUUGACACAGUGGUUUAUAUGGCUUUUAAUUUCAAAAGAUUUUUUAAAAUAUCUUUUUGCCGAUUUUUAUCUAUGUUAAUUUUAACUAGACAUGUUCCCUGGAAGGACAUCACUAGUUUUUUUUUUUUUUUUCCCUCUGUUUAUAAUUUAGGUGGAUUUUCACAUCUCAAGCCAGCUAAGAGUAUGGGAAAUAGGACUCGUUAAAGCACAGGUAUCACACAAGUGAUUCAGAUUCACGAGGGUAAUCCAGAUGAAGGUAUAUCAUUGUACCUGGCCCGCAUCACUCAAUAACUGUCACCUUUGAUUUAUUGAUUUACUUGAGAUGGAGUUUGGUUCUGUCCCCGAGGCCGGAGUGCAAUGGCGUGAUCUCUGCUCACUACAACCUCUGCCUCCCAGGUUCAGAGUGAUUCUCCUGCCUCAGCCUCUUUAGCUGGGAUUACAGGCACCCACCAACAUGCCCAGCUAAUUUUUGUAUUUUUAGUAGAGAGGAGCUUUCACCAUAAUGGCCAGGCUGGUCUUGAACCUCAAAUGAUCUGCCCACCUUGGCCUCCCAAAGUGCUAGGAUUACAGGCUGGAGCUACGGAGCCCAGCCUGUCACCUUGAUUUAAAUGAAUGCAGCUUUCUUGGUGUCUUGAUGUUUGUGAAUUUCUGUGGAGUUUGAUACUGCUCCUUUUGCUGCUUGUUUUUCCAGAGUCCCCUUAUCACUUGACGUGCUGUUAUAUUAUGUUUGAUUUAUUACAGAUACCCCAUCAGCCUGAGUCUCUUAAAGGCCUUUAUACACAUAUGUCUACACAUAGGGAUUUGGAUGAUCUCGGGAUCCCACAUCCUCGCUGUCCCCUGUCCCCCCACAACAUCCCACACCAAUACCUUUCUGAAGUUUUCUAGUCCCUCCUUUUUGUUUGUGGUCCUUAAAGCCCAGCCCCAUGCCUGACUUUGGUUCCCAGUGAGCAUUGUACAUUUGUGGAUAUUAAAUCUUUGGCAAAGUCAUUU